rnacentral:rRNA from 1 species
GUCUAUGGUCAGACUGCUCUGAAUUUCACACCUGAUUUCAUAUGAUCUCAGAAGCUAAGCAGGGUCAGACCUGGUUAGUACUUGAAUGGGAGAUUUUGGGUAUUACUAAGUACUGUAGAAG